UGACUGCUCUCUGUCAAGUUGUUGGAAUCGAAGCAACUACUUGUACAAUGAGCGGUUAGA
rnacentral:pre_miRNA from 1 species